UUGCCCUGCUUCUUAUGGAAGACUAGUGAUUUUGUUGUUCUGUAGUUCAUCUCACGACAACAAGUCACAGUCUGCCUUAUGGGGCCUGGCCUC
ensembl:miRNA aca-mir-7-3 aca-mir-7-3